UAAAAUCAAAGUGCUGGAUAGCACCUCUGGAAAGUUUGCAACUGUAUAUGUGUAUUAAUAGGUUAUAGACGUGUAUUAUUUCAAAUAUGUAUUUAACCAUAGUUUUGAUUUUUCAAACUAAACCAUUCUCUCGCCAGCAAUUUCCAAAAAUCACUGUUCAUGCCCCAUUUAUCGGCAUUAUGUUUUCUGGUCUGUGCGUCUGUUCGUCCUUCUGUCCGUUCGUCUCACGGUCCCAUUCGGGUUAAAGUUUUUGGUUGAGGUAGUUUUUGAUGAGGUCGAAGUCCAAUCAAUUUAAAACUUAGUACACACUAGAAAACACCUGUGAUAUCGCGGGUCCAUGACUGAAUUAAAGUAUAUAACUAUGCGUAAGCCUUAUUUUAGUAUUGGGAUUAUCAUCUGAUAAAGUCAUGCCGAUUAUAAGAUGAACAGUUUUCUCUGCUUUCAAAAUCUUUCUGUUUGAACCUGUCGACCUGGAACUUAUUAAUUAUUGGUAAUAUUAAUUAUUUGGAAAACAAAAGGUCCUGGAAUGGAGUAUUUUUUAAUCAACAGCAUUGUCCUAUAUUUAUUAAUUUAGUUAUAAAUAAAGUUGAAUUCUUUGAUUUGCUGUUUUAUGUCAUGCCCGCUAACAAAUUAAAAACUGUACCUAUACGCCUUAUCUUAAGUCCAGAUGUUUAGUAUUCAUAUUGUCAUCUCAAAUCAGAAAGGCUUACUGCUUAAAAUACUACAAUAGGGAACAAUUUGACAAUGGUUGAAUAUAUUAGUGUCCUAUAUUUGAUAUAUAUAAAAUUCUUUAAUUUGUCAUUUAUACCUAAUGACGGCUGACAAAUUGGACCUCGUUAUUUUAGUAUUAUAGAUGUUCCCUAUGAUUUAAUCUUUCUAAUUUAAAUGCCAAAUUAGAGUUUUUACUCCAUUUUCACGGUCCACUAGAAUAGAAAAUGAUAGUGCAGAUGGGGCAUGCGUGUAUGGACACAUUCUUGUUUUAUAUAUAUCUAUACUUCUAAAUCUAAAGACCGUUUUUUAUGUUCACUUGAUAAAUGUAUAACCGAAGAAAGGUACAAGUCAAACUUAUAUAUAAGGGUAUAUAUACUUGACAGGGUAUACUGAAAAUGUCACCCCUUUACAACUAGAAUGGUAAAAGUGACGCCAACAACAUUCAAACUUGACUUGUGGUUUGUGGUUAUAAGUAUUGCGUAUAAGUUUCAUAAAAUUUGGUUCAGGCAAACUAAAGUAAGAGAACAGAAAUCAAUUUGGGAUGUAUGGACGUACGUACAAAUAAGAGACGUACAUACUUACAGAAAAAAACAAGGAUAAAACUCAAUAUGGUGGGGGCACUGAACAAUAGUAGUAUGACCUCAGGAAUAAAAAGUGUAUAUACACUAGAUUCAUACAAUGUUGAUCUAAGGUGCUUAUUACCCUGUAACACAUUUUAGUUGCUGCUGUGUAAUUACCAUUGAAGCAAUGACAUUUGAGAUUUUUGAUCUAAGCCAUUUAUUUGAUAUACUAGUAAUCAUUGCCUCUGUGUUAGGACGACACAUUGUUAAUUAUAGGUCAAUCUUAAAGAAUCAUACUGCCCCAGGAAUAAAGUGUGAGGAUAAAAAGUUCUGGAUCCGCCACUGCAUUGUUAAGCACUAAGAAAGUCAUUUUGCUAGUACAUGGACAAAUGUUAUUUUAAAAAUCAUUUUAAUAAUUUCUACAGCACUUGUCUUUAGCUUGAUCUCUGUCUUGAUACACUGAACUAUAACAUUCUAAGAAGUAAAUGAUGACUCGGUUGCUUUUAAAUUAUACGGAUGCUAUGAUAAUAAUUGUCAUUUAAUGUUUUUCUGUUGUCAGUUUGAUCAACUUGAGCAUGCUGAACGAGUGAAGGUGCUUAUAUCCACAUUGGAAUGUGAAACAGCUAGUAUUUAAAUAACGGAAUUAAAAGUUUUCAAGUCAUUCUUGGCAUCAAAACUUUCAGACCGAUGUCAGUUUGACAAAAACAAUGCACUUUUCUAUUAAAGUCGGUAUUUACCUUAAAUCGUCCUUGGUGUGAGACAUAAGCCAUAUAACUAUCGAUUAUUUUAUAUUCUAUCACCUGUGUAUUGUUAAAAUAAAUUAAACCAUUAUCACUUGUCUGACAAUUAUCCGACAACUUCGUCAAAUAUCAACUUGUUCUCGCAUACCGGACUCUUUCGAUACACUCGGGAUUUUACUUAUUCAAUAAUAAACAGUUAAAAUAUCGUACAUAGUAAAAAAUAGUGCGGGAAAAUGUUCAUUCAUGAAAUAUUCAUGAAUGAAACGCUGUCUCGCGUAGAUUUCUUUUGAUUUUCUCUUCAGCCAAUGGCCGAUCCGCAAAGUGUUUGUGAUACUUAUUUUCAAAAUGAAGUUAAAUUCAUCUGAAUUGUCGGUGAACAUUCAUUCCUUUUUUUAUUCAAGAUGUAAUCUUUUCAAAAGAGUAGCAACUCAAAAUAUCCAAGAAUCAGAAUAAUUUCGAACACUAGUACUACAUUAUCUUGGAGCAGAACAUUGUGAUAGUCUGUCUCACCGGAAGUUGAGGCCGACGCCUAAGGAAAGUAGCUAUAGCAAGCUAUAGCAAACUUUCCAAAAAC
rnacentral:lncRNA from 1 species